GUAACUUUAACACAAAGCUGAGAAACUCACUCUGAAACAUCCGAGCGUGUACAGAUCAAAUUAAAUCUGAAUGCACAGAAAACAGCAGGCUGAGGGGACCAACCAAUCACCACGCUCGUAACAACAGAUGAGGGCCCUCAGUCAUGAGGGAUGCUCUCUGCAACAUCUGGACACAGCCAGCAGCCGUUUGACGCCCCUGCACCUCCUGAAGCUCCACUGUUCCUCUGAAGGAAAAAACACCCCAGACCAUUAUGGCACCCCCUCCACUGUGGGCGUAGAAAACGCCUCAGUGUCCCAUGUUUGGUCCAAAAGGUCAGUUCUGUGCCGUUCAAGGAGACGAGGCCUUUGAAGACGUGUUUUGUUUUUGAAGACCUUCAGUCUCAGAUGGUUAUGGGGCUGCAGUCCGCACCAGCCUUAAUUUGGGUCGAGGAUCAUCCAGUGUCUUGACGAACAGCCAACUGGAUCCUCCGGCUCAGUGCUGGUGAAUAUUUUUGGGUCUUCCACUUGACUCUUUUGUUCCAUAACCCUCAGGAUCAUUUAAGAAAUUCCAAAUGAGCGUCUCACUGCAUCCCACCUCAGCAGCGAUGGCGUGCUGUGAGAGAACCUGCUUAUGCAGUUCAACAACCUGACCACGUUCAAAAAAGGAACGUUUUUUUGUCUUUGCAGUAACGUCACGACAGUGUGACUACCUGACAGGAAAUGAC